rnacentral:rRNA from 1 species
GAUGAACGCUAGCGGGAGGCCUAACACAUGCAAGCCGAGCGGUAGAGAUUCUUCGGAAUCUUGAGAGCGGCGUACGGGUGCGGAACACGUGUGCAACCUGCCUUUAUCAGGGGGAUAGCCUUUCGAAAGGAAGAUUAAUACCCCAUAAUAUAUUUGAUGGCAUCAUUAGAUAUUGAAAGCUUUGGCGGAUAGAGAUGGGCACGCGCAAGAUUAGAUAGUUGGUGAGGUAACGGCUCACCAAGUCGAUGAUCUUUAGGGGGCCUGAGAGGGUGAUCCCCCACACUGGUACUGAGACACGGACCAGACUCCUACGGGAGUCAGCAGUGAGGAAUAUUGGACAAUGGGUUAGCGCCUGAUCCAGCCAUCCCGCGUGAAGGACGACGGCCCUAUGGGUUGUAAACUUCUUUUGUACAGGGAUAAACCUACUCUCGUGAGAGUAGCUGAAGGUACUGUACGAAUAAGCACCGGCUAACUCCGUG